GUUUAAAGGACCUGAAGAGGACAUGAAGAACAAGUAGUUGAUACAGUCGAAGGAAGAGGAGGCGACUGAAGUAAAGCACCGACAGGAAAAGGUUCUCAUUCUCAACGGACCCGUUAAUCUGUUGUGACAAACCUACCUAAAUUGGAGCCAGUAGGAAAGGACAUCAAUAAUUUUUUUUCUCCUUUGCAAAAUCUGUCAUGAGCUGAUAUUGUCCCACAAAUUUUCCACCUGCACCAUAAAAAGAAACCCCUACUUUUCCUCUACGUAGGACUACAGUCGACCCCUUUUAUUCGGCUUCUGCAGCCACAAAGACUGGAAGCGAGUGAACUGUCGGAGGUGCACAUUUUUGUAAUGUCUUCUCCUCUUUACCUGCUUUUCUUCAGGACUGAGCUCAUCGCAGCAGCAAAUUAAUUUCCAAUGUAAAAACAGCGGCUCUGCUUUAUCUUUAUAUGUAUUGUUUAUUCUAUCCUCCUGAGAUUCAUUUAAGUUUCGAGGCCUUUGAAGAAGACACAACACAGUUUGCACAACAGCAUUGUUCUAAUUUUGAAAACCAAGUUUUAGUUGAUGUCAGGAUGCAUAUUGUAUGUCUUUAGACACACACACGUCUCUAAAGGUCAUCGCCUAUAGUUUGUGACCAUGACUUUUCCGGUCUUUAUUUUAGAGAUGGCUCACUUUGUAUGCUCGGAUGUGUCAUCUGUUUUUUAUGUCCUCUCAUGCAAAGGUUUGAACAUUAAAGUUGUCUUUGAAGGUGGA